rnacentral:rRNA from 1 species
UGGGGAAUAUUGGACAAUGGGCGAAAGCCUGAUCCAGCCAUGCCGCGUGUGUGAAGAAGGUCUUAGGAUUGUAAAGCACUUUAAGUUGGGAGGAAGGGCAGUUACCUAAUACGUAAUUGUUUUGACGUUACCGACAGAAUAAGCACCGGCUAACUCUGUGCCAGCAGCCGCGGUAAUACAGAGGGUGCAAGCGUUAAUCGGAAUUACUGGGCGUAAAGCGCGCGUAGGUGGUUUGUUAAGUUGGAUGUGAAAUCCCCGGGCUCAACCUGGGAACUGCAUUCAAAACUGACUGACUAGAGUAUGGUAGAGGGUGGUGGAAUUUCCUGUGUAGCGGUGAAAUGCGUAGAUAUAGGAAGGAACACCAGUGGCGAAGGCGACCACCUGGACUAAUACUGACACUGAGGUGCGAAAGUGUGGGGAGCAAACA